rnacentral:ncRNA from 2 species
AGGCAGAUACGCGACUGACGGAAAACGGGCAUGAGCCUGUGUAGGAGAACCUACAGGGAGUGUAUUAUAAAAUAAUAAGCCGACCGUCUGGGCAGCAUGG